GUUCGCCUACGGGGGGCAGCAGUAGGGAAUUUUCGUCAAUGGGCGCAAGCCUGAACGAGCGAUGCCGCGUGAGUGAAGAAGGCCUUCGGGUCGUAAAGCUCUGUUGCGGGGGAAAAAAGGCAGCAUCAGGAAAUGGGUGCUGACUGAUGGUGCCCCGCCAGAAAGUCACGGCUAACUACGUGCCAGCAGCCGCGGUAAUACGGAGGAUGCGAGCGUUAUCCGGAUUUAUUGGGUUUAAAGGGUGCGUAGGCGGAAUGCCAAGUCAGCGGUAAAAUCGCGGGGCUCAACCUCGCUCCGCCGUUGAA
rnacentral:rRNA from 1 species